UACGUAGGGGGCAAGCGUUGUCCGGAAUUACUGGGCGUAAAGCGCACGCAGGUGGCUGAGUCAGUCGAUUGUGAAAGCCCUGGGCUUAACCUGGGAAUUGCAGUCGAUACUACUUAGCUAGAGUAUGGGAGAGGGCAGUGGAAUUCCCGGUGUAGCGGUGAAAUGCGUAGAGAUCGGGAAGAACAUCGGUGGCGAAGGCGGCCUGCUGGGCUGUUGCUGACGCUGAGGCGCGACAGCGUGGGGAGCAAACAGG
rnacentral:rRNA from 1 species